AUUGAACGCUGGCGGCAUGCCUUACACAUGCAAGUCGAACGGCAGCACGGGAGCAAUCCUGGUGGCGAGUGGCGAACGGGUGAGUAACAUAUCGGAACGUGCCCAGUGAUGGGGGAUAGCCCGGCGAAAGCCGGAUUAAUACCGCAUACGACCUACGGGUGAAAGCAGGGGAUCGCAAGACCUCGCGCGAUUGGAGCGGCCGAUGGCAGAUUAGGUAGUUGGUGGGGUAAAGGCUCACCAAGCCUGCGAUCUGUAGCUGGUCUGAGAGGACGACCAGCCACACUGGGACUGAGACACGGCCCAGACUCCUACGGGAGGCUG
rnacentral:rRNA from 1 species